UGGAAGGAGCAGCAUCACCAAGAGGGGUAGCUUGCCAUUACUUGAUUUUCAUUCCUUCACCCAUAAGCAUGCUGCCAUUCACCUAUUCAGCGAUUUUAACCUGCAGAUCCUCAUGAAAGGAUUGCUUCUGAAAGGGACUACGCCAGCAUCAAUUAUCCUGCCAAGAUAACCUCACAAACAUUGUGUUGCUUUUUGGACUGGUCUGUGACAACUGUUUGUGCCUCUAGCAACCAGGCAGUUGAUAUGGGGCAAUCUCUGGUGUCCCUGCCUUGUUGACAGGACUAUGAUUUAAAUGCAAGAGGAGUACAUUUAACUAUGACAUGGUUGCUCUCCUAUGGGGUGGAUGUA